rnacentral:rRNA from 1 species
UACGGAGGGCGCAAGCGUUGUUCGGAAUCAUUGGGCGUAAAGCGCGUGUAGGUGGCUUGGCAAGUCGGUUGUGAAAUCCCUGGGCCUAACCCAGGAACUGCGUCCGAAACUGCUUGGCUAGAGUCCUGGAGAGGAAGGCAGAAUUCCCAGUGUAGGGGUGAAAUCCGUAGAUACUGGGAGGAAUACCCGUAGCGAAGGCGGCCUUCUGGACAGUGACUGACACUCAGACGCGAAAGCGUGGGGAGCAAACAGG